rnacentral:rRNA from 1 species
GACGAACGCUGGCGGCGUGCUUAACACAUGCAAGUCGAACGGUGAACCUCUUCGGAGGGGAUCAGUGGCGAACGGGUGAGUAACACGUGGGCAACCUGCCCCCGGCUCUGGGAUAACUCCAAGAAAUUGGGGCUAAUACCGGAUGUUCACCGCUUCCCGCAUGGGUGGUGGUGGAAAGGGUUUCCGGCUGGGGAUGGGCCCGCGGCCUAUCAGCUGGGUGGUGGGGUAGGGGCCUACCAAGGCGACGACGGGUAGCCGGCCUGAGAGGGUGACCGGCCACACUGGGACUGAGACACGGCCCAGACUCCUACGGGAGGCAGCAGUGGGGAAUAUUGCGCAAUGGGCGGAAGCCUGACGCAGCGACGCCGCGUGGGGGAUGACGGCCUUCGGGUUGUAAACCUCUUUCAGCGGGGACGAAGCGCAAGUGACGGUACCUGCAGAAGAAGCACCGGCCAACUACGUG